GUUUUAAUAAUUUAUAUAAAAUAUUAGUCUUGUAAACUAAAAAAAAGAACUUCUUUUAAAACU
rnacentral:tRNA from 1 species